GCUGAAAGGAAGGACUAUGGAGCGUCA
rnacentral:piRNA from 1 species